CUCUCAUAUAAUACAUUAGUUCAAAGGAAUAUCAAUGUCUUAUAGACAUCAUUUUGAUUUAAGUCAUAGUUUUUAGGAUCAUAAUUACAAUAUAUAUCAAAACCUUCACAAUACAGAAAAUUCUCUUGAUCCUCUUGAUAGAUAGAGUUUCAUGGAACAAUCCCUAUCAUAAAUAUUGUUCUACAAACCCAACAAAGGUCAAAACCAGACCCUAAUAUAGUCUUAGUAAUGUCGCAAAGACACAAUAAAAAUACUAGCAUUUCUGAUUUCAAAGCAGAUGGGGUUUCUGCUACAAAACCAAUUGUACUGUAUUGUAUAGCUGUGUAUAAGUUUAAUCUGGCAGUAUUGACAUCAUUUCCUAAACAUACAGUUUUGGCAUGGGCUAUCAACCUGCAUUUCUUUAAAUUUUCCACUGGUUUUAAUAUAAAUAUUCUAGUUGAAUAAAACUUUUAUUUUCUGACAAUUAUCUUCUUUAACCGUAGAACUGCAAGUUGCCGAUUUAAUCGGCCGGCCCAACGCAUGCGUAACGGCCAAGCCGAUUAGAUCAGCUCUUGACAUUAUAGAC
rnacentral:lncRNA from 1 species